AAUUUUACUAAAAGUUGUUGCAGUUAAAAAGCUCGUAGUUGGAUUUGUGGUGUGUCCAGUCGGCCUUCGCUUUUAGUGACAGCGCUGCACUGGUCUGCCAUGUUUGGGUGGAAUCUGUGUGGCAUUAGGUUGUCGUGCAGGGGAUGCCCAUCGUUUACUGUGAAAAAAUUAGAGUGUUCAAAGCAGGCUUAUGCCGUUGAAUAUAUUAGCAUGGAAUAAUAAUAUAGGACCUUGGUACUAUUUUGUUGGUUUGCGCACUAAGGUAAUGAUUAAGAGGGACAGUUGGGGGUAUUUGUAUUCCAUUGUCAGAGGUGAAAUUCUUGGAUUUUUGGAAGACAAACUACUGCGAAAGCAUUUACCAAGGAUGUUUUCAUUAAUCAAGAACGAAAGUUAGGGGAUCGAAGAUGAUUAGAUACCAUCGUAGUCUUAACCAUAAACUAUGCCGACAAGGGAUUGGUGGAGUUUCGUUUCGUCUCCAUCAGCACCUUGUGAGAAAUCAUAAGUCUUUGGGUUCCGGGGGGAGUAUGGUCGCAAGGCUGAAACU
rnacentral:rRNA from 1 species